AAUAGAUACCCUGGUAGUCCACGCCGUAAACGAUGUUGACUUGGAGGUUGUUCCCUUGAGGAGUGGCUUCCGGAGCUAACGCGUUAAGUCGACCGCCUGGGGAGUACGGCCGCAAGGUUAAAACUCAAAUGAAUUGACGGGGGCCCGCACAAGCGGUGGAGCAUGUGGUUUAAUUCGAUGCAACGCGAAGAACCUUACCUACUCUUGACAUCCAGAGAACUUAGCAGAGAUGCUUUGGUGCCUUCGGGAACUCUGAGACAGGUGCUGCAUGGCUGUCGUCAGCUCGUGUUGUGAAAUGUUGGGUUAAGUCCCGCAACGAGCGCAACCCUUAUCCUUUGUUGCCAGCGGUUCGGCCGGGAACUCAAAGGAGACUGCCAGUGAUAAACUGGAGGAAGGUGGGGAUGACGUCAAGUCAUCAUGGCCCUUACGAGUAGGGUUACACACGUGCUACAAUGGCGUAUACAAAGAGAAGCGACCUCGCGAGAGCAAGCGGACCUCAUAAAGUACGUCGUAGUCCGGAUUGGAGU
rnacentral:rRNA from 1 species